CAUGGUUCCUACUAUAGUGUCUACACAUCUAUGGAGGAUCAGAAGUAUUACUUAGGAGAAGAGUGGAGGGGGCCAAACAACCACUGUAAGGGCCAUUCUAGGUCACUUAUCAGCAUGACCCUUGUCAAGUUGCUUUCGUUUCUACUGGUUCUAAGCCUUAGCAUGGUUGAUUUAUUAGUAUCGGGUGGCAAGGAGUACUCGGCUAGCUGAGCAGUUUUCAAAGCCUCGGCAUAGGUAACAACCUUCAUCAUUAC
rnacentral:lncRNA from 1 species